rnacentral:rRNA from 1 species
UACGUAGGGGGCGAGCGUUGUCCGGAUUUAUUGGGCGUAAAGGGCGUGUAGGCGGCUUUUUAAGGGUGGCGUGAAAUCUCCUGGCUUAACUGGGAGGGGUCGCUGCCGACUGGGGAGCUAGAGGACGGUAGGGGCGUGCGGAAUUCCCGGUGUAGUGGUGGAAUGCGUAGAUAUCGGGAGGAACACCAGUGGCGAAGGCGGCGACCUGGACCGAAGCUGACGCUGAGGCGCGAAAGCGUGGGGAGCGAUCCGG